GAAAAAUUCAAAACCAGCAGAUGCCACUACCUGGCAAUGAAUUGAAAAUUAGGGGAAAGCAUCUUUGGCAUGACCUUUUAUUAAGACAACAGAAAUUUAGAACAUUUUACAUGCUUCUUUGUUAAAUGGUGAAGCAAGGGAAUGAAAGUCUUUAUUUUUAGAGCUCAUAGUUAACUCCAUCAAGACAUGGCUACCCACCCCUCCAGUUAUGAACUUGUAUUACAGCUCCACUUGGUGACUUCCUUUCUGUGUAUCAGGAGCAGAGCAGAGGACAACUUGUAGAAGACAUGACCAUUAAGAGACAACAACUUCGCAACAAAUAUAAGACAAGGAUACAAGGAUUCCUGUGUGAUACAGCUAGGUUUUUAUAUCCUUCUAACAAAUGUAUCUGUGACAGGCUGAAGAACGAUGACUAAACGAAGGGAAUUUACACAAGCUAGUCUGGUGGUGUUUGCAAACCAUCGCC
rnacentral:lncRNA from 1 species